GCUAAUACCGCAUAUCGCAUAGACCUCGCAUGGGGAUUAUGCAAAAGAUUUAUUGUGCUAAGAUGGGCUCGCGUCCCAUUAGAUAGUUGGUGAGGUAACGGCCCACCAAGUCGACGAUGGGUAGCCGAACUGAGAGGUUGAACGGCCACAUUGGAACUGAGAUACGGUCCAGACUCCUACGGGAGGCAGCAGUGGGGAAUAUUGGGCAAUGGGCGAAAGCCUGACCCAGCGACGCCGCGUGAGGGAAGAAGGUCUUCGGAUUGUAAACCUUUGUUGAUAGGGACGAGGAAAUGACGGUACCUAUCGAGGAAGCCACGGCUAACUACGUGCCAGCAGCCGCGGUAAUACGUAGGUGGCAAGCGUUAUCCGGAUUUACUGGGUGUAAAGGGUGUGUAGGCGGGAAAGCAAGUCAGAUGUGAAAAUUAUGGGCUCAACUCAUAACCUGCGUCUGAAACUACUUUUCUUGAGAGUCGGAGAGGUAAACGGAAUUCCUGGUGUAGCGGUGAAAUGCGUAGAUAUCAGGAGGAACACCGGUGGCGAAGGCGGUUUACUGGACGACAACUGACGCUGAGACACGAAAGUGUGGGGAGCAAACAGGAUUAGAUACCCUGGUAGUCCACACUGUAAACGAUGAAUGCUAGGUGUGGGGCCGAAAGGUUCCGUGCCGCAGUUAACACAAUAAGCAUUCCACCUGGGGAGUACGGCCGCAAGGUUGAAACUCAAAGGAAUUGACGGGAGCCCGCACAAGCAGUGGAGUAUGUGGUUUAAUUCGACGCAACGCGAAGAACCUUACCAGGACUUGACAUCCCAGGAAUCCGGCGUAAUGGCUGGAGUGCCCUUCGGGGAAUCUGGUGACAGGUGGUGCAUGGUUGUCGUCAGCUCGUGUCGUGAGAUGUUGGGUUAAGUCCCGCAACGAGCGCAACCCUUACGGUUAGUUGCUACGAAAGAGCACUCUAGCCGGACUGCCGUUGACAAAACGGAGGAAGGUGGGGACGACGUCAAAUCAUCAUGCCCCUUACGUUCUGGGCUACACACGUACUACAAUGGCGAAAACAAAGGGAAGCGAUACCGCGAGGUGGAGCAAAUCCCAUAAAAAUCGCCCCAGUUCAGACUGCA
rnacentral:rRNA from 1 species